rnacentral:rRNA from 1 species
AACGAACGCUGGCGGCAGGCUUAACACAUGCAAGUCGAGCGCCCCGCAAGGGGAGGCGGCAGACGGGUGAGUAACGCGUGGGAACAUACCCUUUGGUUCGGAAUAACUCAGGGAAACUUGAGCUAAUACCGGAUACGUCCGUAAGGAGAAAGAUUUAUCGCCAAAGGAUUGGCCCGCGUCCGAUUAGCUAGUUGGUGAGGUAACGGCUCACCAAGGCUACGAUCGGUAGCUGGUCUGAGAGGAUGAUCAGCCACAUUGGGACUGAGACACGGCCCAAACUCCUACGGGAGGCAGCAGUGGGGAAUAUUGGACAAUGGGCGCAAGCCUGAUCCAGCCAUGCCGCGUGAGUGAUGAAGGCCUUAGGGUUGUAAAGCUCUUUUGUCCGGGAAGAUAAUGACUGUACCGGAAGAAUAAGCCCCGGCUAACUUCGUGCCAGCAGCCGCGUUAAU